rnacentral:pre_miRNA from 1 species
CGUUUGCUCGCGUGUGCUUCAUUACUACAUUUGGCUGCAUUCUGUCCGAACCCAAGGAAAUGCAGCAUGAUGUAGUGGUGAAGUACGCCGGGCAUUUUGC